AGAAUCAACGCUGGCGGCGUGCCUAACACAUGCAAGUCGCACGAGAAAGUGGAGCAAUCCAUGAGUACAGUGGCGCACGGGUGAGUAACACGUGAAUCAUCUACCUCCGAGUGGGGAAUAACUGAGAGAAAUCUUAGCUAAUACCGCAUAACACUUACGAGUCAAAGCAGCAAAUGCGCUUGGAGAGGAGUUCGCGGCAGAUUAGUUAGUUGGCGGGGUAAUGGCCCACCAAGACGAUGAUCGGUA
rnacentral:rRNA from 1 species